rnacentral:rRNA from 1 species
GUCAAUAGAUAUAUCAUACUGAACGUGCACUAUCUUGUCUGAUCUUGGAAGCAAAGCAGGGUUGGGCCCGGUUAGUAUUUGGAUGGGAGACAUCGAAUGGAAACCACAAAAUUAUUUAAA